rnacentral:rRNA from 1 species
CGAGGGGAGUGAAAAAGAACCUGAAACCGUGUACGUACAAGCAGUGGGAGCACCUUCGGGUGUGACUGCGUACCUUUUGUAUAAUGGGUCAGCGACUUAUAUUCUGUAGCAAGGUUAACCGUAUAGGGGAGCCGCAGGGAAACCGAGUCUAACUGGGCGUAAGUUGCAGGGUAUAGACCCGAAACCCGGUGAUCUAGCCAUGGGCAGGUUGAAGGUUGGGUAACACUAACUGGAGGACCGAACCGACUAAUGUUGAAAAAUUAGCGGAUGACUUGUGGCUGGGGGUGAAAGGCCAAUCAAACCGGGAGAUAGCUGGUUCUCCCCGAAAGCUAUUUAGGUAGCGCCUCGUGAACUCAUCUUCGGGGGUAGAGCACUGUUUC